AUGAAAUGUUCCCUUGGUAUCUCUAAUUUUCUUGAAGAGAUCUCUAGUCUUUCCCAUUCUGUUGUUUUCCUCUGUUUCUUUGCACUGAUCGCUAGUAAAGUAAUGCUCAAAAUUCUCCAAGCCAGCCUUCAGCAAUAUGUGAACCAUGAACUUCCAGAUGUUCAAGCUGGUUUUAGAAAAGGCAGAGGAACCAGAAAUCAAGUUGCCAAUAUCCGCUGGCUUAUCGAAAAAGCAAGAGAGUUCCAGAAAAACAUCUAUUUCUGCUUUAUUGACUAUGCCAAAGCCUUUGACUGUGUGGAUCAUAAUAAACUGUGGAAGAUUCUGAAAGAGAUGGGAAUACCAGACCACCUGACCUGUCUCUUGAGAAAUCUGUAUGCAGGUCAGGAAGUAACAGUUAGAACUGGACAUGGAACAACAGACUGGUUCCAAAUAGGAAAAGGAGUACAUCAAGGCUGUAUAUUGUCAUCCUGCUUAUUUAACUUGUAUGCAGAGUACAUCAUGAGAAACACUGGGCUGGAAGAAGCACAAGCUGGAAUCAAGAUUGCCGGCAGAAAUAUCAAUCACCUCAGAUAUGCAGAGGAUGCCACCCUUAUGGCAGAAAGUGAAGAGGAACUAAAAAGCCUUUUGAUGAAAGUGAAAGAGGAGAGUGAAAAAGUUGGCUUAAAGCUCAACAUUCAGAAAACGAAGAUCAUGGCAUCUGGCCCCAUCACUUCAUGGAAAAUAGAUGGAGAAACAGUGGAAACAGUGUCAGACUUUAUUUUUGGGGGCUCCAAAAUCACUGCAGAUGGUGACUGCAGCCAUGAAAUUAAAAGACUCUUACUCAUUGGAAGGAAAGUUAUGACCAACCUUGAUAGCAUAUUCAAAAGCAGAGAUACUACUUUGCUAACAAAGGUCCGUCUAGUCAAGGCUAUGGUUUUUCCAGUGGUCAUGUAUGGAUGUGAGAGUUGGACUGUGAAGAAAGCUGAGCACCGAAGAAUUGAUGCUUUUGAACUGUGGUGUUGGAGAAGACUCUUGCGAGUCCCUUGGAUUGCAAGGAGAUCCAACCAGUCCAUCCUAAAGGAGAUCAGUCCUUGGUGUUCUUUGGAAAGAAUGAUGCUGAAGCUGAAGCUCCAGUACUUUGGCCACCUCAUGCGAAGAGUUGACUUAUUGGAAAAGACUCUGAUGCUGGAAAGGAUUGGGGGCAGGAGGAAAAGGGGACGAGAGAGGAUGAGAUGGCUGGAUGGCAUCACUGACUCGAUGGACGUGAGUUUGAGUGAACUCCGGGAAUUGGUGAUGAACAGGGAGGCCUGGCGUGCUGCGAUUCAUGGGGCUGCAAAGAUUUGGACACGACUGAGUGACUGA
rnacentral:lncRNA from 1 species